GACGAACGCUGGCGGCGUGCCUAAUACAUGCAAGUAGAACGCUGAAGGAGGAGCUUGCUUCUCUGGAUGAGUUGCGAACGGGUGAGUAACGCGUAGGUAACCUGCCUGGUAGCGGGGGAUAACUAUUGGAAACGAUAGCUAAUACCGCAUAAUAGCAGUUGUUGCAUGACAACUGUUUGAAAGGUGCAAUUGCACCACUACCAGAUGGACCUGCGUUGUAUUAGCUAGUUGGUGGGGUAACGGCUCACCAAGGCGACGAUACAUAGCCGACCUGAGAGGGUGAUCGGCCACACUGGGACUGAGACACGGCCCAGACUCCUACGGGGGCAGCAGUAGGGAAUCUUCGGCAAUGGACGGAAGUCUGACCGAGCAACGCCGCGUGAGUGAAGAAGGUUUUCGGAUCGUAAAGCUCUGUUGUAAGAGAAGAACGAGUGUGAGAGUGGAAAGUUCACACUGUGACGGUAUCUCACCAGAAAGGGACGGCUAACUACGU
rnacentral:rRNA from 1 species